rnacentral:ncRNA from 1 species
AUGAACGCAUGACUAGGAAGAGUAGCUGUUCUCGCUAAGACAAGAGACCACCGGUAGCUGAAAAGGUGGCUUACAACUGAGCGGCGAAGAUGAACCUAGGAGCAAGUCACCGGUGGAAGCUGGUGGCUCGGGUUGAAGCCCGUUACCGCUUCCGACUUUUGGCAACAGAAGUUACGGAGAUGGUGGAUGUGAAUCCACCAUGAAUCAAGGUGGUACCGCGAGUGAAAUCGUCCUUAUG